rnacentral:rRNA from 1 species
AACGAACGCUGGCGGCAUGCCUAACACAUGCAAGUCGAACGAGACCAUCGGGACUAGUUGCGCACGGGUGCGUCACGCGUCGGAAGCUGCCCUUAUGUUCGGCAUAACUCUCCGACAGGGGUGCUAACGCAGGAUAAUGUAUUCGAACACAAGAUUUAUCGCACUUGGGUGGGCACGCGUUGGAUUAGCUAGUUGGGAGGGUAAAAGCCUACCACGGCGUGGCUCCAUAGCUGGUUAGAGAGGAUGAUCAGCGACGCUGAGAGUCAGACACGGCCGAGACUCUUACGCGAGGCAGCAGAGGCGAAUAUUGGAAAACGGGCGAAGGCCUGAUGGAGUAAUGCUGGGUGAGUGAUGUAGGUCGGAGGGUAGUAAAGCUCUUUUACCCGGGACGAUAAUGACAGUACCGAGAGAAUAAGCUCCGGCUAACUCCGUG